UUGCUUUGGCAGUACAUAUACUAAAAUUGGAAUGAUACAAAGGAUUAGAAUGGCCCUUGAGCAAGGAUGACAUGCAAAGGACUCUGGGAGGAGGGACUAAAUAAAU